rnacentral:rRNA from 1 species
AGCGAACGCUGGCGGCAGGCCUAACACAUGCAAGUCGAACGGAUCCUUCGGGAUUAGUGGCGGACGGGUGAGUCACCCGUGGGAACGUGCCCUUUGGUUCGGAACAACUCAGGGAAACUUGAGCUAAUACCGGAUGUGCCCUUCGGGGGAAAGAUUUAUCGCCAUUGGAGCGGCCCGCGUCUGAUUAGCUAGUUGGUGAGGUAACGGCCAACCAAGGCGACGAUCAGUAGCUGGUCUGAGAGGAUGAUCAGCCACACUGGGACUGAGACACGGCCCAGACUCCUACGGGAGGCAGCAGUGGGGAAUCGUGCACAAUGGGCGAAAGCCUGACGCAGCCAUGCCGCGUGAAUGAUGAAGGUCUUAGGAUUGUAAAAUUCUUUCAGCGGGGACGAUAAUGACGGUACCCGAAGAAGAAGCUCCGGCUAACUUCGUG